rnacentral:rRNA from 1 species
UACGUAGGGAGCAAGCGUUGUCCGGAAUCAUUGGGCGUAAAGCGCGCGUAGGCGGCCCUGUAAGUCCGUUGUGAAAGUCAAAGGCUCAACCUUUGAAAGCCGAUGGAUACUGCAGGGCUGGAGUCCGGAAGAGGCGAGUGGAAUUCCUGGUGUAGCGGUGAAAUGCGCAGAUAUCAGGAGGAACACCGGUGGCGAAGGCGGGUCUCUGGGCCGAUACUGACGCUGAGGAGCGAAAGCGUGGGGAGCAAACAGG